UCAUAUAUCCUACAUAGAUGCGUGUUCUUCGACUCAGGUAGCUCCAUGGAUGUAGGAUAUACGGAGCUCGUAAACCCAGCCAUUCCCUUGAUACCCUUGCGAAAAAAAUGGUGCAAACAGAGAGGCUAUCUUUUCUCUGUCUCUCCUUUUCCGUUAGAACGCCUGUCGUCACUAUUGCGAUAUGCGACAGUUUCCCGUAAACAGAGAUAAGCAAGAAAAAAGACCCUCUAUUCUCUCUAUUUCAUUUCUGUUGCUCCAUAGUGUCUGAUCAGAGUCCGGGAUCUAUACAUCCUACGCCCAUGGACGUCAUGGAUGAUUCAAACACGCGCUUCAUUUUUGAUUAAAAGGUUCACACAGCCGAUAAAACUGUAUCGUCGUUAAAACGUUUGAAAACUGGCGCGCUUUUCAACCUUCGGCGUCGCGGGGUGGCGAUCCAAGAUGGCGGCCAUGCCGUCGACGCAUCCGGAAGAAGGGAAAGAGAGACAGAGAGGAACGCUCGUAUUUCGUCUCGUAGCCGGGCCACCUCUUGAAAACGCCUUAAAGUCAAAGACUGGGCCAAUGAAAAUUCUAAAGUUAGCCCGCCAACGUAUCCAGAAUAGAUCGAAACGCGGAGGUGGAGGUCACUCCGAUAUCCUCGCCAUUCGUGCCAGCCCCUGCGGGGUGGAAAACCUCGGGGAAGGGGGUCAGGUAAAACGCGAAUUAUCCACGCUCGGGCGAAAGGAAAAGUAAACUUUAGUUUCUAUGAGAUAAGCUUGCGGGAUUCGAUUAUGCGGAAACGGAGCCAUGUCGAAAAUUCCUCCUGAGAGGGAUUGAACAUUUCUCUUGGAGCGAAUUUGCAUAUUUCCCUUUGACCGGAAUUGACGAGUUCCCCUGGAAUCACCUCGAAAUUACCCUUGGACCGAAUUCGGAUAUUUUUCUUUGGAUCUGAGACCCAAUUCUCAAAUUCAUAUACCAUCAUCUUUCGCAUGCGAAAAUGAUAGUUUCGUAUACGACUUUCAAAUGUUGACCAAUGCUGGACACUUCACGACAAUGCAAAAUCUUUCCUGCGAAUCUAUGCGUAUGCGAAGAAAAAAAAAUAAAAUCGGCAUGAACUCGAGAAUCGGGGCUCCGAUCUAGAAAUUUCCCUUGGAGCCACCUUUCAUUUGGGCCGGGAACAUUUUCUACAUUUCUUUCAGGGCAGAUUUGGAUAUUUCCUCAGUUACCUGUUUACAGAUAUUUCCCACGGCCUCAUUUCGACAUUUCAUUUAACCUGGUUUCCGACAAUUUCCUUGGUCCAUGUUCGGACUUCUUCCCAGAGCCCGUCCUCAAUACUACAUUUCCCUAGAACACCUUUCCUCUGGAACAAUCUUGAAGUUUCUUCUGCGUCAAAUUUAUAGUAUUUCCCUUAGAGUCACCUGAAAAUUUCUCUUGUACCGGAUUCGAAUAUUUCCCUUAGACCGGAUUACACGAUUUCCUCUGGACCGUCUCAGUACUUCCACUAAACCGUUUCCGAAUUUCUCCUAGACCGGACUUUCCGAUUUCCCUUGGACCCACUCGUCGUUUCUCCCUCUACUGAUUUAGAAUAUUUCCCUUAGACCGGGUUCCACGAUUUCCUCUGGACCGUCUCGGUACUUCCCCUAGACCGCUUCCGAAUUUCUCCUACACCGGACUUUCCGAUUUCCCUUGGACCCACUCGUCGUUUCUCCCUCUACUGAUUUAGAAUAUUUCCCUUAGACCGGGUUCCACGAUUUCCUCUGGACCGUCUCGGUACUUCCCCUAGACCGUUUCCGAAUUUCUCCUACACCGGACUUUCCGAUUUCCCUUGGACCCACUCGUCGUUUCUCCCUCUACUGAUUUAGAAUAUUUCCCUUAGACCGGGUUCCACGAUUUUCUCUGGGUCGUCUCGGUACUUCCCCUAGACCGUUUCCGAAUUUCCCCUAGACCGCUUCCGAAUUUCCCCUAUACCGGACUUUCCGAUUUCCCUUGGGCCCAUCUCGACAUUUCCCCUCUACCGAUGUCGAACCCUUAGACCGAGUAUCCCGAUUUCCCUUGGAGCCGCCUAGAACUAUCCCCUGGUACCGAAUUACCAUAUUUCCCGCCGAAUGAAUUUUCAAAUCAACUUCCCACGAGCCCACGUCGCCCUUACCCCCACCGAGCUCUUCAUCUCGACUCUGCAGGAGGCGGUCUACCGGCAGAAGAGAGAGCCCGCGAGUUUUGGAUCGCGGGACGAUGACUCAGGCCGGAUUUGGAUUUGGAUUUGGCGUGUCUCCUGGGCACGUGGGUGGCGGGCACCGCGCGUGGGCGCCCUUUUCCAACCAUGGAGACCUAAGUCGCGACCGACCGCCGCCGAUUUCGACCGCGGCUUCCCUCGGGCGAGACCGUCGAGCGAGAUUCUAAGUCACGGUCGCGGCUAAUUGCGAGACAAGUUGCGAAUUGAGUCGCGUCACUGUGUCGCAAGCGGAGCCGCGAGUCGCGACCAAUCGCGAGGCGACUACCGACAACCGAUUCACGGCCGCUCGAUUACUCGCUAAUCGACUCGCCAGGGUUCGCGAUAGAGGAAACUCGCGAGCCCGAGUCGAUUCUCGAGCUGAUUCACGGCUCGAUCCCCUGGGGAAAUAUUCCUGAGACAUCGCGAUUCACCCCGAUGGAAAAAAAAAACUGCAAUGAUUUCGCGAAACUUGUUUCCCGAGUUUUAGUCGGAUGCGGUAUGGACAUCCUGAGAGAAAAAAAAAAAAGAAGAAGUUGGUUGACUCAAAGAAAUAUGCAUUGCUGCAAGAAAAUCCUGCGAUCGAAUACCUCCAAAGAAAUGUCACUAAGAGUAAACAAGGGUUUAUUCACUAUGGAAAUGAUGGAUUUUAACGCUGGAAAUCACCGACACAUUCUCACAGUUUUAAGAUCCUGCCUGGAAAAUCGCAGUUUAGGAAGCUUGCGAGAGAAAAUCGAGGAUGAGAGACGAAGGGAGAAGUCGAUCGGGGACGAUCUGUGUUCGACCUAUUAUCACCAGCUGCCAAGAAUCUCGAUCUCGUCACAGAGAAACGAAGAGCGAAACGAGUAGCCUAUCUCUCAUCGACCCUGCGUCGAAGGGCGCCACUAAAUAAUUCAUUAGUUUUAACCUGACCUAACCUAAUCUAGGGUACUCGACCUGUAGCGUGAACAUAGGCUAUUACGUAAAAAAAAAAUUUACAAAAUCCAUACUCAUUUAGUAUACAAGGUUGUAGUACAAUCAUAUGUCUCACUAAUGAAUUAGUACAUAUUAGGGGGACCGGAAAGUAAUGUCAUUUCUUCACAAUGGAAUUUAAUGUAAGAAAACGACAUUACUUUCCGGCCACCCUAAUACAUACAUGCAUAAAACGUACAUAUAUGUAUAUAACAUGUAUAUAUGCACACAGAUAACACCAUUGUACUUAUGAGUAAAAAAAGGGAACAACUUGCGGAUAGAUAAACUACACCGUUAAAAAGUAUUCAUUAAAUGCAUAUACCUUUAGUACAUAAGGCUGUGGUAAAAUAAUGCAUUUCAUACCUCAAAUGUGAAUUACUAUACAUUUAUGAUAGACUUCAAUAUAAAUUUGUCAUUUCGUAACAUCAUGUUAGAAUUUUGUGAAAA